rnacentral:rRNA from 1 species
GAACGAACGCUGGCGGCAUGCCUAACCCAUGCAAGUCGAACGAGACCUUCGGGUCUCGUGGCGCACGGGUGCGUAACGCGUGGGAACCUGCCCUUAGGUUCGGAAUAACUCCCCGAAAAGGGUGCUAAUACCGGAUAAUGUCUUCGGACCAAAGGUUUAUCGCCUUUGGAUGGGCCCGAGUUGGAUUAGCUAGUAGGUAGGGUAAAAGCCUACCAAGGCGACGAUCCAUAGCUGGUCUGAGAGAAUGAUCAGACACACUGGGACUGAGACACGGCCCAGACUCCUACGGAAGGCAGCAGUGAGGAAUAUUGGACAAUGGGCGCAAGCAUGAUCCAGCAAUGCCGCCUGAGUGAUGAAGGCCUUAGGGUUGUAAAGCGCUUUUACCCGGGAUGAUAAUGACGGUACCGGAAGAAUAAGCUCCGGCUAACUACGUG